GGCAUUGCUGGUAUUUUUACAUGUAUAUUUCCAACUUUUUCUCCUAAGUGCAGCCUCCUCACAGUACGGUGAAAUCCUUGCAGAACCGGUUCAAGGCUUCUCAGCCAUGUAAACAAUACUGAUUUUUGCUGUUCUAAGGAAGAGGAACCAGGACUGGAGCUGGGCCAGGAGGGUCUUGCUAGGGGAAGGAAAGGGGAUGUUGUGGGCAGACAAAGAACUUGGGGUAACCCUGGCAGAAAGCUUGCUAUGCCUUUCUGGUCUCUGUGGGUGGGAAGUCCUCCCCCUCCCAUAGCUGUCAGUCCUGCAUGCUCUGAUUUCUCUUUCAGAAGCUUGCCUGACUUUCCAGGAAACAGACCCAGGGCUUUGCUACUGUCCCCAGCACUCUUCUUCCAGCCAAGUACUACUUUGUCUGUGGUUUAAGUUGACCUUGACUACUCAGCUGUUUCCUUGAGGCACUUUUUACAGCAAACACCUUUCCAUCCCUCUGGCUGCAUUAUCAAGGGCAAAAAGCUCAAAAUGACAGCCAGUACCAAGAACACCUAUAUGAAAAUGGACUUUUUCUCGUAUUAUUUUUCCUCAGAAAUCCUCAUAAAUAGCGGGUAUCUGAAGCACACCCUCUAUUUCUGGAAUGUAAGAACUGAAAUGAGGAGAGCUCCCUCCGGCUCUCCUCAUUUCAAUAAGAGGUUUGUCCCCGACUUUCGGCUUAGAGAAGAGGAGACUGAGGUGCGACCUCAUGGCAGCCUGCAGCUUCCUCCCAAGGGGAGUGGAGGGGCCGAUGCUGAGCUCUGCUCCCUGGGAACAGCAACGUGAUCCUUGUGGGUACCUCUUAGCUCAGGAUAUUCUAGGAUUCUAAUUCCCAUAUCCCACUGAAUGCUAAAAAUAUGCCUGUAGCUGUGUCACAUUUAGGCUGGAGUGCAACAUUCUUUUGUCACAGAUGCUGAAAGACCAAAAGAUUUGCCACAGGAUUGUUUUUCUGCUUCUUGACAUAUUUCAUUUACCAUCACAGAGACCAGAAGUUCUCUCCCUGAGAGUUAAGCCACAUCUCAAAGGAAUAUUGCAGCUCUGUGCCUACAUCCUGUCUUGCAUCAUAAAAACAAGCCUUGUUUUCAUUCACAUCAAUGAUCUUUGUAAGGCAGACUGUUUACAAAGGUCUGUUAUGUGUGGAUGACCAUCUACAACAAAUAAAAUGCCAGCCAAACAACCACAACAAACUGUGGUUUUAAAAUCAGCAUCAUCAUUUCAUGCCAAGAUGAAGAUUUUAUCUAGAAGAUUGUUACUUAUGUGCAAGAAAGAUUAGCUUAAAUCAAAGAAGACACAGGGAAGAACUCUGAGAGUGCCUAGAAGACUUCAUGUUCUGCAAAGAGAUGAAAUGGGUUUACAUUGUCGAGAGGAGCUAUGGGGACUUUUUACAGGUACCUUAAUGGAAAAGACCUAUUAAUGCAGUGGGAUAGAAAUGGAAAAACAUCAAGAGAUUUUGCAUCAGUGCUGGGUGAAAGUACAUUGGAAGUUAGAAGAACUUUUCAAGUAUCUGCAAGAAUCUUUCCAAUGGCAGAUGUGAGGGCAGAGACCUUAAUUAAAUCUUUUUAAGAUGAUGUCCCAGAGAGGUGAAGCAACAUCUGGUAUCAGAUGUGUUUUUGUUUCUUACGGGCUUGGAAGGAGAUUCACUUGCUUUUUCUGUGUCAUAGUUAUGCUGUAUUAAUCUUCUGAAUCUCUGCAGCCACUGGCUGUCUGCAGAGAUAAAAACUGGAAUCCAAGAUAGCAGUUUUGGGUGCACAGAAUCACACAAAAACUGUGUUUAUCAGACAUUUUUCACUAACAACUCCUACUGCAAUGUGAAUAUGCACUUUAUGUACCAACAUGUGCUUUUGGCAAAGUAAACUGAUCAGAAAGCUACCUCAUGUCCAGUAAAGCUGAAAGAAAUAUUCUUUUGAUCCAAAUAAUGAUAAAAGUAUCAACAAUUUUGCUUCUUACUAAUUGACUAGAUCAGCAUAUUUUUCUGUAAACUAGGAAAGAAAUUUUUCUUGCUGAGCUAUCAAUUACAUUUACAAGUAAGUCUUAGUGGCAAACCUGUUCUUUUGUUUUGUUUUGUUCUUUCAUUUAUUGAGUAGUCAGAUAGACCUUAAAUAGUCCCUCAUGCUAAACAGCUGAGAAGUGAGCUCUCAGCUGUGUUUGGAGACCAACAAUGUUAGUAUUCAGUGAUAAUAUCAUGAUUACAUGCAUAAGAACCAAAAAUACAUCUGUGUUUAGAUGGGGAAAGGGGACUUCUCACUUUGAAAACAAAAUAGUAUUCAAAUAUGUUAUUUAAAUUCAUUUCACCAAGUCUUUCCGUACUGAAAAUAAAUGUAAAAUCUAUUUUUUCCCUGUAAGAACAGGCACAGCAAUUCAGAAAAUGAUAUACAGUCUUGUAUUUAUUAUAAAUUUUGUUUUACAUUUCAGCCCCUGGUGCAUUAUGAAUAAAGCCUCACAAUGGCUUGCAGGUGGCAAAACUCUGAGCAUAUCUGAAACAUUAAGAUAUUUCAUACACAUUUUCUUUACAGUUGAAUGGAUGGCUUCUGAAAACGUAAAAACCUUUUACGUAUUUAUUAUUGCAGUGAUAGUAUUAGUAUAGUAUUAUUGCAGUGAUGCUUGGUGACAAAAACCAAAAUAACUAUGAUUAUGGUUUUAAGGUUAGAGAUGUAUUUAAUGACCAUGAGACAAAAAAAAAAAAAAAGAAAAAAAAAGGUUUUAAACACUAAAAUCUUACAGCAUUUGUUUCACUUCAAUUGAUCAUAUUGCCUCUAAGCAAGCUGCUUACUGAUAUCAAGAAAUUCCUUUUUUCCUCUGUCUCUUUCUUUCUUUUUAAUACAUUCACUUAGAAUCUCCUUUGGUUAAUUCCUUAUUAGUUUGAAAACUGCAUCUUUCUUAAACUAGACAAAACCCUACUUUGUAGUUCUUCUGAACGAAGCUUACAGAUGACUUGGUAUUACCACCAGUUUGGUGAUGGCUACCUCCUUGGUGUAGCUAAACCUGUGCAGGUGUUUCCAGCUGAGUGAUGCGAUGCUAGGCUAGGGCUUGGCUAGGAUAUUGAUUUAAAUGCUCUGCGGUUAAGCACAGUGUAAAAUUUUGUGAUAAAAUAUGAGAAGUUGCUUGUGUU